rnacentral:rRNA from 1 species
AGCAUAUCAAUAAGCGGAGGAAAAGAAACCAACCGGGAUUGCCUUAGUAACGGCGAAGUGAAGCGGCAAAAGCUCAAAUUUGAAAUCUGGUACCUUCGGUGCCCGAGUUGUAAUUUGGAGAGGGCAACUUUGGGGCCGUUCCUUGUCUAUGUUCCUUGGAACAGGACGUCAUAGAGGGUGAGAAUCCCGUGUGGCGAGGAGUGCGGUUCUUUGUAAAGUGCCUUCGAAGAGUCGAGUUGUUUGGGAAUGCAGCUCUAAGUGGGUGGUAAAUUCCAUCUAAAGCUAAAUAUUGGCGAGAGACCGAUAGCGAACAAGUACAGUGAUGGAAAGAUGAAAAGAACUUUGAAAAGAGAGUGAAAAAGUACGUGAAAUUGUUGAAAGGGAAGGGCAUUUGAUCAGACAUGGUGUUUUGUGCCCUCUGCUCCUUGUGGGUAGGGGAAUCUCGCAUUUCACUGGGCCAGCAUCAGUUUUGGUGGCAGGAUAAAUCCAUAGGAAUGUAGCUUGCCUCGGUAAGUAUUAUAGCCUGUGGGAAUACUGCCAGCUGGGACUGAGGACUGCGACGUAAGUCAAGGAUGCUGGCAUAAUGGUUAUAUGCCGCCCGUCUUGAAACACGGACCAAGGAGUCUAACGUCUAUGCGAGUGUUUGGGUGUAAAACCCAUACGCGUAAUGAAAGUGAACGUAGGUUGGGGCCUCGCAAGAGGUGCACAAUCGACCGAUCCUGAUGUCUUCGGAUGGAUUUGAGUAAGAGCAUAGCUGUUGGGACCCGAAAGAUGGUGAACUAUGCCUGAAUAGGGUGAAGCCAGAGGAAACUCUGGUGGAGGCUCGUAGCGGUUCUGACGUGCAAAUCGAUCGUCGAAUUUGGGUAUAGGGGCGAAAGACUAAUCGAACCAUCUAGUAGCUGGUUCUGC